rnacentral:piRNA from 1 species
UACAAACGCACUGGUGUUCUCAUAAUCCGC